rnacentral:rRNA from 1 species
GACGAACCGUGCGAACGUUAUUCGGAAUCACUGGGCUUAAAGCGCGUGUAGGCGGGCCGGCACGUCCGUGGCUGAAAGCCCCCGGCUCAACCGGGGAAGGGCGCGGAUACGACCGGCCUGGAGGGGGUAGGGGGACCUGGAACUUCCGGUGGAGCGGUGAAAUGCGUUGAGAUCGGAAGGAACGCCCGUGGCGAAAGCGAGGUCCUGGACCCGUUCUGACGCUGAGACGCGAAAGCCAGGGGAGCGAACGGG